GGAGAAAAAGAGAGAGCGAAAGAGAGAGGAUAUGCGAACGGCUCUCUCUGGCUGCUCUUCUCUGGGGGACCUGGGAGCGAUCCAGAGGAAAAACCCCUCCUUUGCUGGCUUAUCUGCGUAGAUGAGGUGGAGAGAGGCCAAUGCCUAAAUUCUAUCAUCAGUCCCAAUUAAAGAAGACCUAUUGACUCAAUGGGAUUUUGACUCCAGUUGAGACUAAUCUAUAGGAUUCAGGUCAGUAUGUCCUGUGGGCCAUGGUUAAGAGAGGCAGUCUAAAAGAAUCCCAAACCCAAGAUUAGGUCUUGGUGACCUGACAGACUUCCCCAGCUGCACAGCUCUCUGGAUGUGUUGGACUACAAAACCCAUCACCUACAGUUUUACCCUGCCAUUCCCCCCUCCUCAUGCUCAAUUAGGCCAGCAAUUACAUGGUCUACUGUGUGCAGAAGAAUGGUGGCCUGGGCUCCCGACAGUGAAUCCCUCCUCACAAGACUUUGCCAAGCCAUUCGCAGCCUGACUGCAGAAGAGAAACUGAGGAUCUGGGGCCAGGGAGGAGGAAAGUGACUGUGGAGUGGGUGGGUCUGGGCAGCAUGGAGAUUGGCUGAAGUGUCUGUGUGCGUUUUAAGCAGCAAACAAAAUUCAUGCUGCGUGCAUGACGAGAAUGUCAAUAGUGUUGCAUUUUCUUUUUGGACAGUGGUUUGCCUAUCCCUCCUUCCCACAAAUCCCUGCUGUCUUUGGGUUGUUGUUUUUUUCACACCCUAAACUCUUUUAAUUACCAGAGGUAUCUCAGCAACACUGUGCAUUCUCUCUCUGAAUGUGUGUGUGUUUGCAUGUACCAGUCCCUCAGGUUCUAUGGGGCCAAUUAUAAGUGAACACUGCAAGUACAAGUAUCGUGGUUUAAAAAGUUAGCAAAGAUUUACUUAUUUAAACCUUUCUAUCCCAUUGUUUAGUAUGCA